rnacentral:rRNA from 1 species
UAGGGAAUCUUCGGCAAUGGACGAAAGUCUGACCGAGCAACGCCGCGUGAGUGAAGAAGGUUUUCGGAUCGUAAAACUCUGUUGUUAGAGAAGAACAAGGACGUUAGUAACUGAACGUCCCCUGACGGUAUCUAACCAGAAAGCCAGGGCUAACUACGUGCCAGCAGCCGCGGUAAUACGUAGGUGGCAAGCGUUGUCCGGAUUUAUUGGGCGUAAAGCGAGCGCAGGCGGUUUCUUAAGUCUGAUGUGAAAGCCCCCGGCUCAACCGGGGAGGGUCAUUGGAAACUGGGAGACUUGAGUGCAGAAGAGGAGAGUGGAAUUCCAUGUGUAGCGGUGAAAUGCGUAGAUAUAUGGAGGAACACCAGUGGCGAAGGCGGCUCUCUGGUCUGUAACUGACGCUGAGGCUCGAAAGCGUGGGGAGCAAACAG